rnacentral:rRNA from 1 species
GAUGAACGCUGGCGGCGUGCCUAAUACAUGCAAGUCGAGCGAACAGACGAGGAGCUUGCUCCUCUGACGUUAGCGGCGGACGGGUGAGUAACACGUGGAUAACCUACCUAUAAGACUGGGAUAACUUCGGGAAACCGGAGCUAAUACCGGAUAACAUGCUGAACCGCAUGGUUCAACAGUGAAAGACGGUUUUGCUGUCACUUAUAGAUGGAUCCCCGUCGCAUUAGCUAGUUGGUAAGGUAACGGCUUACCAAGGCAACGAUGCGUAGCCGACCUGAGAGGGUGAUCGGCCACACGGGAACUGAGACACGGUCAAGACUCCUACGGGAGGCAGCAGUAGGGAAUCUUCCGCAAUGGGCGAAAGCCUGACGGAGCAACGCCGCGUGAGUGAAGAAGGUCUUCGGAUCGUAAAACUCUGUUAUUAGGGAAGAACAAAUGUGUAAGUAACUAUGCACGUCUUGACGGUACCUAAUCAGAAAGCCACGGCUAACUACGUG